GACGAACGCUGGCGGCGUGCCUAAUACAUGCAAGUUGAGCGCUGAAGGUUGGUACUUGUACCGACUGGAUGAGCAGCGAACGGGUGAGUAACGCGUGGGGAAUCUGCCUUUGAGCGGGGGACAACAUUUGGAAACGAAUGCUAAUACCGCAUAAAAACUUUAAACACAAGUUUUAAGUUUGAAGGAUGCAAUUGCAUCACUCAAAGAUGAUCCCGCGUUGUAUUAGCUAGUUGGUGAGGUAAAGGCUCACCAAGGCGAUGAUACAUAGCCGACCUGAGAGGGUGAUCGGCCACAUUGGGACUGAGACACGGCCCAAACUCCUACGGGAGGCAGCAGUAGGGAAUCUUCGGCAAUGGACGAAAGUCUGACCGAGCAACGCCGCGUGAGUGAAGAAGGUUUUCGGAUCGUAAAACUCUGUUGGCAGAGAAGAACGUUGGUGAGAGUGGAAAGCUCAUCAAGUGACGGUAACUACCCAGAAAGGGACGGCUAACUACGUG
rnacentral:rRNA from 1 species